rnacentral:rRNA from 1 species
AUACGAAGGGGGCUAGCGUUGUUCGGAAUCACUGGGCGUAAAGCGCGCGUAGGUGGAUCAAUUAGUUGAGGGUGAAAUCCCGGGGCUCAACCUCGGAACUGCCUUCAAUACUGUUGAUCUUGAGACCGAGAGAGGUGAGUGGAAUUCCUAGUGUAGAGGUGGAAUUCGUAGAUAUUAGGAAGAACACCAGUGGCGAAGGCGGCUCACUGGCUCGGUACUGACGCUGAGGUGCGAAAGCGUGGGGAGCAAACAGGAUUAGAUACCCUAGUAGUCC